rnacentral:rRNA from 1 species
GGAACGUGCCUAGUAGUGGGGAACAACCAGCCGAGAGGUUGGCUAAUACCGCAUACGACCUACGGGUGAAAGCAGGGGAUCUUCGGACCUUGCGCUAUUAGAGCGGCCGAUAUCUGAUUAGGUAGUUGGUGGGGUAAAGGCCUACCAAGCCGACGAUCAGUAGCUGGUCUGAGAGGACGAUCAGCCACACUGGAACUGAGACACGGUCCAGACUCCUACGGGAGGCAGCAGUGGGGAAUUUUGGACAAUGGGGGAAACCCUGAUCCAGCCAUUCCGCGUGAGUGAAGAAGGCCUUCGGGUUGUAAAGCUCUUUCGCAAGGGAAGAAAUUUUAUUGUCGAAUAAACAGUAAAGAUGACGGUACCUUGAGAAGAAGCACCGGCUAACUACGUGCCAGCAGCCGCGGUAAUACGUAGGGUGCGAGCGUUAAUCGGAAUUACUGGGCGUAAAGCGUGCGCAGGCGGUCUUAUAAGUCAGAUGUGAAAUCCCCGAGCUCAACUUGGGAACUGCGUUUGAAACUGUAAGACUAGAGUGUGUCAGAGGGAGGUAGAAUUCCACGUGUAGCAGUGAAAUGCGUAGAUAUGUGGAGGAAUACCAAUGGCGAAGGCAGCCUCCUGGGAUAACACUGACGCUCAUGCACGAAAGCGUGGGGAGCAAACAGGAUUAGAUACCCUGGUAGUCCACGCCCUAAACGAUGUCUACUAGUUGUUGGUGGAGUAAAAUCCAUGAGUAACGCAGCUAACGCGUGAAGUAG